GCUAAGAGUUGCCCCCAUCCGACAGCCAGCAAGGAAAUGAGGACCUCAGCUCUAACCAACCACAAGGAAUUGAGUUCUGCCAACAGCCUGGAUGAGCUUGGAAGCAGACACCUCCCCUGAACUUCCAGGUGGUGGGACUUCCAAGUGGAGGACACAUUGCUCCCAUGCAGAAUGCUCCCUCCGAGGGAAACGAUGGUGACACAGAAUGGCGAGAUGGACGACAGUGCUGUCCCAGGGGUGCACAUGCAGGAUGGAGCCCCAGUCCAAUGUCUGCCCCAUCAAGCCAACCGCCCCACCACCAAGGGCAGCUUUCGAAAACAGAAACACUUCCUCGAAACUUCCCUGGUCCCCACAGUAUGGCAGUGGUCCCCAAGCCGGGGGGCCCAUCAGAGCUGUCUGGACACGACCUCACCCUAAACCUUCAGAAACAGAGUUCUCGGGGCAGACACGAAAAGGAAAUCUGCAUUUAUACUUACUUUGCCAGUCCUCCAGCUUUUUGGAAUCAGAGAAAUGACUCCAACCAUCAUAAAAGAACUCAAGCUUCCACGAUAUAUAUUUCCAAAGGACUGUCCUUUCUUUCCUAACUUCCUCUGAGGAGUCCUGGUCUGAAGGGGUCUGGUCUGAGAUUCUCCUUGUCUUUUCUUUCUCCCGUCACCCCAACUCUGAGCUCCUGCCCUCCACCUUUUCAUCAUCAGCUUGGUGGUCUCCCUGUCUUGUCUUUGUUUCAAUUGAUCCUCUUCCUUCUUUCCCCAGGGCAUCACCACCACCAGGGUGACACUAAUUAGUGGUUAAUAAAGCUUAACUAAUGACAUGGGAACACUGAAGACUGGACUGGAGAUUAGGUAGCAUGCACCAUCAAACGGCACUCCUCCUGAAAUAACUUUGCCCUUCCCGCGGUUAGAGAAGUAAUGGAUGGAGGUCACCGUCCUUAUGCCCUGACCUUGCCUGCUCCUGCCCCAGAGAGCCUUCUCCCAUCGCCUCUCUCCCCUCUACCCCAGGUCCAAGUUCCUUCCUGCUAUCAACUCAAUGUUGGUGCUUCC
rnacentral:lncRNA from 1 species